GUGCUCGCUUCGGCAGCACACAUACUGAAACUGGAAUGAUGGAGAUUAGCAUGGCCCCUGUGCAAGGAUGAAGCAUUUCUUUCCCAUCAGCAUUUCCUGACUUCU